rnacentral:rRNA from 1 species
CAAGAGGACCCGCUGAAUUUAAG